rnacentral:rRNA from 1 species
ACGGUUACCUUGUUACGACUUCACCCCAGUUAUCAGACCUGCCUUCGACAGCUCCCUCCUUUCAGUUGGGUCACUGGCUUCGGGCAUUUCCGACUCCCAUGGUGUGACGGGCGGUGUGUACAAGACCCGGGAACGUAUUCACCGCGGCAUUCUGAUCCGCGAUUACUAGCGAUUCCAGCUUCAUGUAGUCGAGUUGCAGACUACAAUCCGAACUGAGACGUUAUUUUUGAGAUUUGCUUACCCUCGCGGGCUCGCUUCCCUUUGUUUACGCCAUUGUAGCACGUGUGUAGCCCAAAUCAUAAGGGGCAUGAUGAUUUGACGUCAUCCCCACCUUCCUCCAGGUUAUCCCUGGCAGUCUCCUCAGAGUUCCCGGCCUCGCCGCUGGCUACUGAGGAUAAGGGUUGCGCUCGUUGCGGGACUUAACCCAACAUCUCACGACACGAGCUGACGACAACCAUGCACCACCUGUCUCCAUCGCCCCGAAAGGAAGGGACCGUUACGUCCCCGU